rfam:Thermobaculum terrenum ATCC BAA-798 chromosome 1, complete sequence.
GGGGAUGACCGGAUUCGACAGGGGUGUAGGGCGCGAAACUGCAGGCCGGGGAUGCCUCGACCCCGUGACGAAGGGGCAAAAAAACAACUGCCAACACAGAAUACGCUCUAGCCGCCUAAUUUAGCUGCGGCUACGUCCACUCAGUUCCUUCUCCGGUGGAGCUGAGAUGGGCGUCGAGAAACCGGAGUGCGGCGCUAGCGCUUGCCGGAGCGCGAACGCCUAAGACUAAAUCCGGCUGGCUUGAGUAACCCUGCCGGUCGGGAGUACUCAAGCGAGAAAGCAAAGAUCGGCUAAGCCUGUAGGAUGUUUCGGUCCAAAGCCUCUGGACGGGGGUUCGACUCCCCCCAUCUCCACCA